rnacentral:rRNA from 1 species
ACAGUCCUUCGGGGCUCCUUGGUGAUUCAUAAUAACUUAACGAAUCGCAUGGCCUUGUGCCGGCGAUGGUUCAUUCAAAUUUUCUGCCCUAUCAACUUUCGAUGGUAGGAUAGUAGGCCUACCAUGGUGUUCAAGCGGGUAACGGGGAAUUAGGGUUCUAUUCCGGAGAGGGAGCCUGAGAAACGGUACCACAUCCAAGGAAGGCAGCAGGCGCGCAAAUUACCCAAUCCCGACACGGGGAGGUAGUGACAAUAAAUACUGAUACAGGGCUCUUUUGGGUCUUGUAAUUUGGAAUGAGUACAAUUUAAAUCCCUUAACGAGGAACAAUUGGAGGGCAAGUCUGGUGCCAGCAGCCGCGGUAAUUCCAGCUCCAAUAGCGUAUAUUAAAGUUGUUGCAGUUAAAAAGCUCGUAGUUGAACCUUGGGCCUGGCUGGCCGGUCCGCCUCACCGGUGCACUGGUCCGGCCGGGCCUUUCCUUCUGGGGAGCCGAUGCCCUUCACUGGGUGUGUCGGGGAACCAGGACUUUUACUUUGAAAAAUUAGAGUGUUCAAAGCAGGCCUAUGCUCGAAUACAUUAGCAUGGAAUAAUAGAAUAGGACGUGUGGUUCUAAUUGGUGGGUUUCUAAGGAACCGGCCGUAAUGAUUAAUAGGGGUCAGUUGGGGGGCA